AUGAACGCUGGCGGCGUGCCUAACACAUGCAAGUCGAACGGAGUCCAGCCUUUAAGACCUUCGGGUCAAAGAGGGGAAGACUGAGUGGCGGACGGGUGAGUAACACGUGGGCAACCUGGCUCAUAGAGGGGGAUAACAGAGAGAAAUUUCUGCUAAUACCGCAUAAGCACACACUGCCGCAUGGCAGAGGGUGAAAAGAGAAUCGCUAUGAGAUGGACCCGCGUCUGAUUAGCCAGUUGGCAGGGUAAGAGCCUACCAAAGCGACGAUCAGUAGCCGAUCUGAGAGGAUGAACGGCCACAUUGGGACUGAGACACGGCCCAAACUCCUACGGGGGGCAGCAGUGGGGGAUAUUGCACAAUGGGGGGAACCCUGAUGCAGCGACGCCGCGUGAGUGAAGAAGUAUUUCGGUAUGUAAAGCUCUAUCAGCAGGGAAGAUAAUGACAGUACCUGAAUAAGAAGCCCCGGCUAACUACGUG
rnacentral:rRNA from 1 species